rnacentral:rRNA from 1 species
CUUGAAAAAAAGUAGUUAAUUUCUUCAUAACUCAAAGAUUUUGGCGGUUAAUUAUAUUUUUAGAGGAACCUGUAGUAUAAUUGAUAAACCACGAUAGUUUUAACCUUAUUUUUAUUUGUAUACCUCUAUUUAAUGAAUGUUCUAUAAGGAUAAAUUUUCUUUAAGUUAAUUCUUUAAUUUUAGGUCAAGGUGCAGUUUUAAUAAGGUAUUUAUGGGUUAUUUAAGUAUUAUAUUUUGAUUAUUAAAUUUAUAGUUUUGGUUUAUUUUUAGGAUUUAAAAGUAAAUUUAAUUAAUUAAUUAUUUUGAAUUUU